GAUGAGCCUUUCGGGGUGGAUUAGUGGCGAACGGGUGAGUAACACGUGGGCAAUCUGCCCUUCACUCUGGGACAAGCCCUGGAAACGGGGUCUAAUACCGGAUAACACUCUGUCCCGCAUGGGACGGGGUUAAAAGCUCCGGCGGUGAAGGAUGAGCCCGCGGCCUAUCAGCUUGUUGGUGGGGUAAUGGCCUACCAAGGCGACGACGGGUAGCCGGCCUGAGAGGGCGACCGGCCACACUGGGACUGAGACACGGCCCAGACUCCUACGGGAGGCAGCAGUGGGGAAUAUUGCACAAUGGGCGAAAGCCUGAUGCAGCGACGCCGCGUGAGGGAUGACGGCCUUCGGGUUGUAAACCUCUUUCAGCAGGGAAGAAGCGAAAGUGACGGUACCUGCAGAAGAAGCGCCGGCUAACUACGUGCCAGCAGCCGCGGUAAUACGUAGGGCGCAAGCGUUGUCCGGAAUUAUUGGGCGUAAAGAGCUCGUAGGCGGCUUGUCACGUCGGAUGUGAAAGCCCGGGGCUUAACCCCGGGUCUGCAUUCGAUACGGGCUAGCUAGAGUGUGGUAGGGGAGAUCGGAAUUCCUGGUGUAGCGGUGAAAUGCGCAGAUAUCAGGAGGAACACCGGUGGCGAAGGCGGAUCUCUGGGCCAUUACUGACGCUGAGGAGCGAAAGCGUGGGGAGCGAACAGGAUUAGAUACCCUGGUAGUCCACGCCGUAAACGUUGGGAACUAGGUGUUGGCGACAUUCCACGUCGUCGGUGCCGCAGCUAACGCAUUAAGUUCCCCGC
rnacentral:rRNA from 1 species